rnacentral:rRNA from 1 species
AUUGAACGCUGGCGGCAUGCCUUACACAUGCAAGUCGAACGGCAGCACGGGUGCUUGCACCUGGUGGCGAGUGGCGAACGGGUGAGUAGUACAUCGGAACAUGUCCUGUAGUGGGGGAUAGCCCGGCGAAAGCCGGAUUAAUACCGCAUACGAUCCACGGAUGAAAGCGGGGGACCUUCGGGCCUCGCGCUAUAGGGUUGGCCGAUGGCUGAUUAGCUAGUUGGUGGGGUAAAGGCCUACCAAGGCGUCGAUCAGUAGCUGGUCUGAGAGGACGACCAGCCACACUGGGACUGAGACACGGCCCAGACUCCUACGGGAGGCAGCAGUGGGGAAUUUUGGACAAUGGGCGAAAGCCUGAUCCAGCAAUGCCGCGUGUGUGAAGAAGGCCUUCGGGUUGUAAAGCACUUUUGUCCGGAAAGAAAUCCUUGACUCUAAUACAGUCGGGGGAUGACGGUACCGGAAGAAUAAGCACCGGCUAACUACGUG